rnacentral:rRNA from 1 species
AACGAACGCUGGCGGCAUGCCUAACACAUGCAAGUCGAACGAGACCUUCGGGUCUAGUGGCGCACGGGUGCGUAACGCGUGGGAACCUGCCCUUAGGUUCGGAAUCACUCCCCGAAAGGUGUGCUAAUACCGGUUAAUGUCUUCGGACCAAAGAUUUAUCGCCUUUGGAUGGGCCCGCGUUGGAUUAGCGAGUUGGUAGGGUAAAAGCCUACCAAGGCGACGAUCCAUAGCUGGUCUGGGAGGAUGAUCAGCCACACUGGGAAUGAGACACGGCCCAGACUCCUACGGGAGGCUGCAGUGGGGAAUAUUGGACAAUGGGCGAAAGCCUGAUCCAGCAAUGCGGCGUGAGAGAUGAAGGCCGUAGGGUUGUAAAGCUCUUUUACCCGGGAUGAUAAUGACAGUACCGGGAGAAUAAGCUCCGGCUAACUACGUG